rnacentral:rRNA from 1 species
GGUAACGAACGCGUGCACUUUUUUCCUGGUAGGACGUCGCGAUCCGUUGGGCGUCGGUUUACGGCUCGCGGUGGAGCCCGCCCGUCGUACUCGUUGCGUACGGGCGGACCCGCGUGAUUCCCGGCCGACUCGCUSGACGGUAUACGAAUGGUCGAGGGCCGCUGUUUGAAAGCGUCCGGCUCGCGGCAAGCGCGCCCGUUACGUCGACAAUCGGACCUAGCGCCGUUUUCGACACCGGGCGACUGUUGGCCGCGAAGUUCUCGGACAGACCUUCGGCGCGUACGUUUCGGCGUGCGCGUUUCGACCGAUCGGCGACGCUAUAGCUUUGGGUACUUUCAGGACCCGUCUUGAAACACGGACCAAGGAGUCUAGCAUGUACGCGAGUCAUUGGGAAUCACUAAACCUAAAGGCGUAAUGAAAGUGAAGAUCUUCCUAGCGAAGAUCGAGGGAAGACGAGCGAUUUCACCCUUAAAAGUGAUCGUUCCGCAUUCCCGGGGCGUCUCGUUCUCAUCGCGAGAAGAGGCGCACCAAGAGCGUA